CAAAUUACGAGUAUCUUCGAUUCGUUAUGUGUCGAUGAGCUUGGCGCGAUUCUCAGAUUUGCUUCCUCUCUCUCCUUACCACUUGAGAGACGUAUAUAAGCUCCAUGUCUGUGUCCGAUCCUUGUUUACGGGGAUCGUGGAAGAAAUUGGGAAAAUGAGGCAUCUCGGAUUCUGCCGAUCACGAAGACGUCGAUUUGAAAACACGGAUGGGGACUGUAGUUGAUAGUUUCGAUCAGGGGAGAUUCUUUUGCGGAGUUCAGUGCAGCUUUGAUUUUGCUGAGGUACAAUGCAGCUUUGAUGUCAUGGUGGUGCCUUAGUUGUAGCAGAAUGUGUGGUGAUUCGUGAUCAAUGAAACUAGGCAGAAGGUGAAUUUGGAUGUUGGGUUAAGUGGGGGAACCCGAAGAUUUAAUCUUUUUGGUAGGUUCGAUGUAGAUGAUUGAGAAAGAGUGUUAAAAGUUUGAUUUUGAGUGAGUUUGGUGUUUACAUGGGUGUCCUUUGGGGUCUCGUGUCAUCAAAAUAAAAGUCACAGACGAUGGUUUUAGUGCUCUUUGAAUUCAUUGUGUCUAUGUGCAGUAAACCAGCUUCUCAGCAUUGAUACUGUUUUUCCUUGAGCAAAACGAUGCAAAGGGAUAUCAAGUUAGUGGAAUUUGUUCAAGGAAACUGUUUGGAGAGUCUUCUGAGUUCUGAGCUUGUUCUUGUGUAAUCCAGGAUCUUCUUGUUCUUGUCUAGUCUCAGCAUCUUCGAGGCAUUUGCUGCUACUGGUUUUUGGAAUCUAUAGUCACAUUGGUCAGCUAAACUUGUCUGAGGAACUUAUUCUAGUUAUCAGUUGUAUCAGAAACAUGAACCGGUUAUGACUGGAGUUACAGCAAGAGUGAUGCUUAAUUGUAACUUCUCUUAGCCUGUGCGUAUUUCGUGAUUUUGGUAGUGAUUAGUGAAGUCCUUAGAGAUCGUUGGGACAAACUCUUGUUUGAAGCUGUAACUUCUCUUAGCCUCUGCAUAUUUUGUGAUGUUGGUAAGUGAUUAGUGAAACUAGUUCUCAGGAUUGACCUGUUGCGUUACUUACAAUGGCUCCCCAACAUAUAUAUAGCCAUUGAAUUGCUUUGUCUUUUCCUUGACAUCAUUGUAAGAUUUUAUCCAACAUAUUGAACUCCCUGGGCAGAGAUUCCACAAUCAGUUUGGCCAGAAAAUGUUUUUACAUUCCUUUCUUGGUCAUUUUUUGUUUUGUUUCUUUGGGACACCAAAUCUUUUACAUUUAAC
rnacentral:lncRNA from 1 species